rnacentral:rRNA from 1 species
UAGGGAAUCUUCCACAAUGGACGAAAGUCUGAUGGAGCAACGCCGCGUGAUGAAGAAGGGUUUCGGCUCGUAAAGCUCUGUUGGUAGUGAAGAAAGAUAGAGGUAGUAACUGGCCUUUAUUUGACGGUAAUUACUUAGAAAGUCACGGCUAACUACGUGCC